AUGGGUAACCAACCAUCCUCAGCCUGCACUCCCCUUGAGUGUAUUCUGAAUCACUGGGACUCCGUUGACCCUCAGACUGUAGAGAAAGAGGAAAAAACCUUUUCCCUCCUCUGUCCUCUCUUCCAGCCAGGCAUGACCAUGUAACAGUUUGGGCUGCUGAGCCAGAAGGGAAAGAGUACUACUGCUAGACUUCCAGGAAGGCUGCUCUAAGAAAGAUGACUCAGAGGUUGCACUUUUUUAGUUUUGGGGGUUUUUUUCCCUCUACUUCCUGCUUCUUGGAACUAGGACAUGAUGUCUGGAACUCUAGCAGCCAUUUUGGACCAUGAGGUGAUUGUGCGACUAGAAGACACAUCGUAGAAUGGAGCACCAAGACGAAAGCCCCCAAAGCUGCCCUAUAAGACCUGGACUUCAAACCAGCAAACUUCUUCCAUGUGAGAGAGAAAUAAGCUUAGGUUUUGUUUCUGCCAGUGUUAUCUUUGUUUUCGGUUAUGAGCCACUAAAUGUGAUCCCACUUGUUACCCCAGUCAUUCUCCCAACUUCCUAGACCCAUUAAUAGCAUUCUACACUCACAGUCCAUCAGUGGUGCAAGACUACAACACGAUUUUAAAUCCAAAAGUGAUAUAAAUGAUUUUGUGAUUCUGU